rnacentral:tRNA from 1 species
AGAAAAGUAUUUAAAGAAAUAAAAUCUAAUUUGCAAUUAGAAAUUGUAUUUACCUUUUCUA